rnacentral:rRNA from 1 species
AUAGCGUAUAUUAAAGUUGUUGCAGUUAAAAAGCUCGUAGUUGAAUUUCGGGAUCAUCAUGUCGGUCGUGCCUCGGUACGUACUGGCAUUGUUGGUUUCUACCUUCUGACGAACCAUGAUGUCAUUUAUUUGGUGUCGUGGGAAAUCAGGACUGUUACUUUGAAAAAAUUAGAGUGUUUAAAGCAGGCUCACGCUUGAAUACAUUAGCAUGGAAUAAUGAAAUAGGACGUUUGAUUCUAUUUUGUUGGUUUCUAGGAUCGACGUAAUGAUUAAUAGGGAUAGUUGGGGGCAUUAGUAUUCAAUUGUCAGAGGUGAAAUUCUUGGAUUUAUUAAAGACUAACUACUG